GCGACGGAAAGAUUUGAUUGCAUUUUUGAACAAUUGUCAAAUGAGGGCUUUGCCGUCGUCGCCCUUGGCUCUGCUCCGGUGGCCCGGAUUGGGUCUGUAAAUGUUUUCUUGUUCUUUUCUCCCCAGAGUGUGAACCUUGAAGGCUCAGAUGAAAAAUCAAUACUUGGCCAGCUCCUCCAGGUCAUCGCCGCAGACCGUCAGCAGCAGGAGGAACUACAGGACAAACACUACUUUGUCUUCCUGUUUGGGAGCCGCAAAAAAAAAGAGACGUUUACCGCGUGACUGGGCUUGAAUAGACAAAAGACAGACUGCUGCCGGGCGGAUGCAGACAGAUAAAACAGACAAAUCAUCCGCAGCCAUCAGAGGAAAACAGGUCCCGCGGCUCCGGACAAACUGAUGGAUGAACGGACAAACAUACCAGAGCUACCUGGCUGGAACCUUUUGAGCUCCUGCGAGGGAAACGAAACUUUCGGGGAGAUUCAGAUUUCAAGUCAGUGACGCAGUCAACCACGCAAUACAAUGAGAUUCACCUUUAGACCGUUAUCCCUUGGCGGACUUUAUUAGGAGCAAUGGGCCAGUUUGUCAGAAAUUAAAUAUUUUGAGAGACUGAAUGUAUUUUGUAUUAAUCUGAUGUUUAAUCAUCACAGGAUGCCAAUAUUGGGUGCAUUUCAUAUUAGACUCACUUCUAGUAAUGUCACAAGUAAGUCACAUGACGUUUCCAACUUAAAUUUGUGUACAUUUUAAAUGCUUUGGAGCAGAGACUUAAGGUUGAUCUCUUUUUAAUGAAA